UCUUAUCUAGAGAAACCGAGGGAUCAGGCCCUAUGACGUUUCGGCAACAGGUUCAAAUCUUUGAAUACUGUGCCAACUCCUGCAAGCGCAAUGCUUGAAAGAUGAGA
rnacentral:ncRNA from 1 species